rnacentral:rRNA from 1 species
GACGAACGCUGGCGGCGUGCUUAACACAUGCAAGUCGAACGAAGUGGCGCACGGGUGAGUAACGCGUAAUCAACCUGCCCUUCAGAGGGGGACACCAGUUGGAAACGACUGCUAAUACCGCAUACUGCAGGAGCUGAUUGCGUCUGAUUAGCUAGUUGGAGGGGUAACGGCCAACCAAGGCGAUGAUAAGUAGCCGGGCUGAGAGGAGGAACGGCCACAUUGGGACGGAGACACGGGCCAGACUCCUACGGGAGGCAGCAGUGGGGAAUCGUACGCAAUGGACGAAAGUCUGACGGAGCAACGCCGCGUGAGUGAUGACGGCCUUCGGGUUGUAAAGCUCUGUUAAUCGGGACGCGGUACCGGAAUAGAAAGCCACGGCUAACUACGUGCCAGCAGCCGCGGUAAUAC